AGAGUUGAUCAUGGCUCAGGACGAACGUUGGCGGCGUGCUUAACACAUGCAAGUCGAGCGGUAAGGCCCUUUGGGGUACACGAGCGGCGAACGGGUGAGUAACACGUGGGUGAUCUGCCUCGCACUCUGGGAUAAGCCUGGGAAACUGGGUCUAAUACCGGAUAUGACCAUUGAUCGCAUGGUUGGUGGUGGAAAGAUUUAUCGGUGCGAGAUGGGCCCGCGGCCUAUCAGCUUGUUGGUGGGGUAAUGGCCUACCAAGGCGACGACGGGUAGCCGACCUGAGAGGGUGACCGGCCACACUGGGACUGAGACACGGCCCAGACUCCUACGGGAGGCAGCAGUGGGGAAUAUUGCACAAUGGGCGAAAGCCUGAUGCAGCGACGCCGCGUGAGGGAUGACGGCCUUCGGGUUGUAAACCUCUUUCGACAGGGACGAAGCGCGAGUGACGGUACCUGUAGAAGAAGCACCGGCCAACUACGUGCCAGCAGCCGCGGUAAUACGUAGGGUGCGAGCGUUGUCCGGAAUUACUGGGCGUAAAGAGCUUGUAGGCGGUUCGUCGCGUCGAUUGUGAAAACUUGCAGCUCAACUGCAAGCUUGCAGUCGAUACGGGCGGACUAGAGUACUUCAGGGGAGACUGGAAUUCCUGGUGUAGCGGUGAAAUGCGCAGAUAUCAGGAGGAACACCGGUGGCGAAGGCGGGUCUCUGGGAAGUAACUGACGCUGAGAAGCGAAAGCGUGGGUAGCGAACAGGAUUAGAUACCCUGGUAGUCCACGCCGUAAACGGUGGGUACUAGGUGUGGGUUUCCUUCCACGGGAUCCGUGCCGUAGCUAACGCAUUAAGUACCCCGCCUGGGGAGUACGGCCGCAAGGCUAAAACUCAAAGGAAUUGACGGGGGCCCGCACAAGCGGCGGAGCAUGUGGAUUAAUUCGAUGCAACGCGAAGAACCUUACCUGGGUUUGACAUACACCAGAAAGCCGUAGAGAUACGGCCCCCCUUGUGGUUGGUGUACAGG
rnacentral:rRNA from 1 species